ACGGCUGGGAUACCAGGUGCUGUAGGCGUUUUC
rnacentral:rRNA from 1 species